UACGUAGGGUGCGAGCGUUGUCCGGAAUUAUUGGGCGUAAAGGGCUCGUAGGCGGUCUGUCGCGUCGGUAGUGAAAACUCAGGGCUUAACCCUGAGCCUGCUUCCGAUACGGGGCAGACUAGAGGUAUGCAGGGGGAGAACGGAAUUCCUGGUGUAGCGGUGAAAUGCGCAGAUAUCAGGAGGAACACCGAUGGCGAAGGCAGGUCUCUGGGCCAUAACUGACGCUGAGAAGCGAAAGCAUGGGGAGCGAACAGG
rnacentral:rRNA from 1 species